AGUGAACGCUGGCGGCAUGCCUUACACAUGCAAGUCGAACGGUAACAGGUCUUCGGAUGCUGACGAGUGGCGAACGGGUGAGUAAUACAUCGGAACGUGCCUGAUCGUGGGGGAUAACGAAGCGAAAGCUUUGCUAAUACCGCAUAAGAUCUACGGAUGAAAGCAGGGGACCGCAAGGCCUUGCGCGAACGGAGCGGCCGAUGGCAGAUUAGGUAGUUGGUGGGAUAAAAGCUUACCAAGCCGACGAUCUGUAGCUGGUCUGAGAGGACGACCAGCCACACUGGGACUGAGACACGGCCCAGACUCCUACGGGAGGCAGCAGUGGGGAAUUUUGGACAAUGGGCGAAAGCCUGAUCCAUCCAUGCCGCGUGCAGGAUGAAGGCCUUCGGGUUGUAAACUGCUUUUGUACGGAACGAAAAGACUCUGGUUAAUACCUGGGGUCCAUGACGGUACCGUAAGAAUAAGCACCGGCUAACUACGUGCCAGCCGCCGCCGUAA
rnacentral:rRNA from 1 species